rnacentral:lncRNA from 1 species
CGGCAUUUUCAGAAAUGCUAGCAGGGUGUCCCUUCAAGGAAAUGACGGUUUAUGUGCCAACACCCCAGAGUUAGGGCUGCCUCAUUGUCCUGCAUUAGACAGAAGAACAAAGCAUAAGUCCAUUAUUUUAAUGAUAGUGGUUCCAAUUGCUGCCAUUGUUCUUGUAAUUUCACUGAUCUGUUUACUCACUGUCUGCUUGAAAAGAAGAGAAGAAAAGCCAAUAUUGACAGACAUUAGCAUGGAUACGAAGAUAAUUUCAUAUAAAGACAUUGUCCAAGCAACGAAAGGGUUCUCUACUGAAAACUUGGUUGGUUCAGGAUCCUUUGGAGAUGUUUACAAGGGCACCUUGGAGCUUGAGGUUGAUCUAGUAGCUAUUAAAGUUUUCAAUCUCAAUAGGCAUGGAGGACCUUCAAGCUUUAUUGCAGAGUGUGAAGCCUUGAAAAACAUCCGACAUCGCAAUCUUGUCAAAGUCAUCACCUUAUGUUCAACCUUGGAUCCCAAAGGAGAAGAAUUCAAAGCAAUCAUCUUUCAAUAUAUGCCUAAUGGAAGCCUAGAAACAUGGCUGCAUCAGAAAGUCUAUGAUCAUAAUCAGAAACAAGUCUUAACUUUGGGUGAUCGGAUUAGCAUAGCUCUGGAUAUAGCAUAUGCUUUAGAUUAUCUUCACAACCAGUCUGCAUCUCCACUAAUACAUUGUGACCUUAAGCCAAGCAAUGUGCUGUUAGAUCUACAGAUGACGGCAUAUGUCAGUGAUUUUGGAUUGGCAAGAUUCAUGUGCACUACAACUGCAGCAUGCGCCAAUUCAACUAGUUUGGCUGAUUUGAAAGGAUCCAUCGGAUAUAUUGCACCAGGUGAGACGAACCAUUCACUAUCUAUUUUUCUUCUAAUUUAUAUAAGGUUUUCCCACUUGAUUUACUUAUCCAAUACUAUAUUCAAGUGAUUUUCCUUAUUAUUAAAUGAAUACUUCUGUUUUUAAAUACAUAUGUAGAGUACGGAAUGGGUGGACCUAUCUCAACCAAGGGCGAUGCCUACAGCUAUGGAGUGCUCUUAUUAGAGAUAUUAACUGGGAAGCGUCCAAGUGAUGACAAAUUGAAGGAUGGCUUAAGCCUUCAUGAACUCGUGGAGUCAGCAUUUCCACACAAACUAGAUGAGAUUUUGGAUCCCAUUAUGCUGCAGAGUGACCUAAAUGGAGGAAAAUAUCAUACUGAAAUAAUGCAGAGUUGCAUCAUACCAAUGGUUAAGCUGGGUCUGUUGUGUUCGUCCAUAUCACCAAAAGACCGAUUAGGAAUGUCACAGGUUUCUGCCGAAAUGGGCACAAUAAGACAGUCAUUUCUUGAGUUACAAUGAGAACAAGGAGCUAGCUGCGAUGGUAAAUAGUACUGACAAUUGCAGAAAUCUUUUUGUUGAAAUGAUCAUAAUGGGACGUGCAAUCUUGUUCUUUAUGAGGAAGAAAUAAAAACAAAAACAGAUAGAGGUGAAUGCAUGAAAAAUUCUAGCUCCAACUUUUGUUCCCCACCUAAUAGUACCAAUAGUUUCAGCUGUAAUUUGGAUGUUUGUACAACUACUUUUAAUACACUUUGAGAGUUGUAACGAAUUCCAUUUGGUAUUAAAAAAAUAAUAUUGGUCCACCAAGCCAAUUAUUCUGUUUUUUUCCAUAACCUGCAAUUAAGAUUCCUAUCUGAGCUUGUAUGCUGCUGUUUUUAACUAUCGUUCUUAAUUAGAUUGAGAUUCCAUAAAAUGGUAUGGUGUAAUGGCAUUCUUGUUCCUGGGAUAAACUUUAUUAGUCUGUACGAUAUUAUUCAUAUUGUAUAGCCUAUGUUGUUUAACCAGAUCCUGAAAACAUGACAAAAAGAGAAGAUAUAAGAACCUGUUGAGUUGUUGAGCCUAUGGUUUUCCAAAAUUGCCAACUAAUCCAACCCCCUGUGCAAUUGACCAUACAGAUGCAAUGCGAAACAGCAAUAUAAUCCCCAGUUCCCCACCCCUGUUUGCCCCCAAAGUUCAGGUCCCCCGUAAUCCACAAAGGUACGGCAAUCCAGCGACGCGUUUCUGCAGUUCUGCUAAUUGCAUCAUUAUCGUUUUCCUAGUUAAAUCCUAGAAACUAACAUGGUGAUUUGCCGCUGGAAUGUCCAAGUGCAGCCGUGCAGGCGCGUGACACCCUCAUGGGCAUUUCCACGAACACACCACGCGCACGCGUGGCGAACACCAACCUCCACCGCCACACCCCCGCCGCCGCCGCCGCCAUUGCAAACAUGCGUACAGAGAAACAGCGCCACGGAACAAACCUGGUAGGAGGCCAUCGGACGUAGAUGCGGCGCGGGGCCUUCUCCGGCGCGCGGGGCACCGUCGCCGUCGCCGUCGCCGCCGCACCAGCGGAGAAGUGGAGCCGCCUGUGACGAGCACUCGAACGAGAGUCGAGGAGACGACGCGAAAGCUUAUUAGGACGCGCACGUACUGG